rnacentral:rRNA from 1 species
GCGGACGGGUGAGUAACACGUGGAUAACCUACCUAUAAGACUGGGAUAACUUCGGGAAACCGGAGCUAAUACCGGAUAAUAUUUUGAACCGCAUGGUUCAAAAGUAAAAGACGGUCUUGCUGUCACUUAUAGAUGGAUCCGCGCUGCAUUAGCUAGUUGGUAAGGUAACGGCUUACCAAGGCAACGAUGCAUAGCCGACCUGAGAGGGUGAUCGGCCACACUGUAACUGAGACACGGUCCAG